rnacentral:rRNA from 1 species
UACGAAGGGGGCUAGCGUUGCUCGGAAUCACUGGGCGUAAAGCGCACGUAGGCGGCUCUUUAAGUCAGGGGUGAAAUCCUGGAGCUCAACUCCAGAACGGCCUUUGAUACUGAGGGGCUUGAGUCCGGGAGAGGUGAGUGGAACUGCGAGUGUAGAGGUGAAAUUCGUAGAUAUUCGCAAGAACACCAGUGGCGAAGGCGGCUCACUGGCCCGGUACUGACGCUGAGGUGCGAAAGCGUGGGGAGCAAACAGG